GCUUCAGUAGCUUAAUAAAGCAUUGGUCUUGUAAACCAAAGAAUGAAGAUGAAAGCUCUUCCUAAAGCU
rnacentral:tRNA from 1 species